rnacentral:rRNA from 1 species
GAUGAACGCUGGCGGUAUGCUUUACACAUGCAAGUCGUACGAGAGUUUUUAACUCAAGUGGCGGACGGGUGAGUAACACGUAAGAAUUUGCCUUUAGGAGGGGGACAACAACUGGAAACGGUUGCUAAUACCCCAUAUGCUUUCGAGUGAAACGGUUUUUCCGCCUAAAGAGAAGCUUGCGGCUGAUUAGCUUGUUGGUGAGGUAAUGGCUUACCAAGGCGACGAUCAGUAUCUGGUUUGAGAGGACGAUCAGACACACUGGAACUGAGACACGGUCCAGACUCCUACGGGAGGCAGCAGUGGGGAAUUUUCCGCAAUGGGCGAAAGCCUGACGGAGCAAUACCGCGUGAGGGAUGACGGCCUAUGGGUUGUAAACCUCUUUUUUCAGGGAGGAAUAAAAUGACGUGUACCUGAAGAAUAAGCAUCGGCUAACUCCGUGCCAGCAGCCGCGGUAAGACGGGGGAUGCAAGUGUUAUCCGGAAUCACUGGGCGUAAAGCGUCUUUAGGUGGUCCAAU